AACUAAACCAAAAUAUGCAUUACUUAAAAUACUUUUUAAGUAACAUGGCUAUCUGUUAUUGCAUCUAUAGGCCAAGGACCAUUUCCAGAAAACACAUCCAGUAUUGUACAGUUCAGGUGCUAGCAACACAGACCAUUUAGCAACGUUGCAGAGCCGAUAAAAGUACUUUGGAGAAAAAUGGAAGGCAUUUGUAUUACAUUGAUCGCAUGGUAAUGGUAUGGUGGGGUGGUAUCUGCUCAAACAACAUGAUAAUGCCAACAUCCUUGAUUGGGAUGGGACUCGAACCUGAGAUAACAGUGAUGCCAUCAAACCACAAGCCUUGUAUACAGGUCUUGGAGACUUGGAGAAUUGUGGAACGACAAGGCUAGUUGAGCAAGAUGGAGAAGCAGGGCACGUGCAUUACUAACUCAUGCACUUUAACCCGAAGCUUAAUGUUAGCCAUAUGGUUGCCACAUGUAAUCCAUAGAUAUGGUGCAUUGUGUGCUUCAACUGGCUCAAUGAGUUAGUACUUCAUGUGCCUGCCUUCGCCAUCGUGAUCACUCGACCUUAUUACUAAUGGAUUCGCAGGAUUGCUGCCCGAAACCCUCUCCACUCAGCAGAUCUCUGUCGCAGCCUUGCAGGUAAUUCUUGUCGAAACUGGAAAUAUCUAAAUUCAAGAAAAUUUAAGUUGAUUUGACACUUGUUUUUGAUUGUUCAUCUGCUGAGAAUUACAGUUAAAAUAAUUCGGAUGAUUGUGAAGAGAAUGAUGUAGAAAAUUGGAUAAACAUAUAGCAAUUAGCAAGUGUCGCCCAUAUAUGAUGUAUUUACUCAUGUAGAAUUAUGGAUAUGUCUACAAGCAAGAAGGGAGGAAAUGGAGCACUUUUUCCCUGAUCUAAUCUUAGUAGGUGAGUGAGUGGCCACAGUUGUGUUAUGUAGUUGUAACAAUUUAAUUUUCAUGUUAUCCAUCAUUACAGAGAGCACUCGGAAGCCGAAUGUUCCAGAAUCAUAUCCCAGGUUGAUGUUUGGUUGGAGAAACAUUGUUUCGUCUAUUAGACAAUUCCAGUUAAAUUGAUCAGGCUAUAUAUUAACUUGCUUACAAGUUCGACUCCCGGUGGAAGUGACCUAUUGGUCUUCUUAGUUUGAAUCAGUGAACUAAUGCAAGAUCGCCGUGUUUUGGUCUUUCUUCAUCCCCCCAUAUUCAUACUAUUAUUUUCAUUCCCUAAUUUUAAUUUCUCCCACAUUUGCAUGCAUGCAUCCCCAAAUCUCAUUCUGCGAGAUUGCAUUGAUUAUUGUAUGCAUUGGUGGGCAAUAUAAUGCCGCUUUUGCAAAGCCUGCACUAAGAUAGCCUGCAAAGUAUGUAUACUUUCUCUUCAUAAUCUCAAAUGGAAGAUUAAGCAAAACUCUUAAGUCUUAA